AGCUAUUUUUCCAUUAAAGGGAAACAGGUUUUCUUCAUCUCUGUUUGUCUUGUUUGAUGACUUCUUUCUCCAUUUUCAGUCUGCAAAAAACUUCCAAGCUUUUCCACUGUCUACUAUUUGGGCAGAAGGCAUGAAUGAUUCCCAGGGAGUUAUAAAUGGCAUCAAAAUUACCACACCAGA